AGCCUACUCUAGCCCAAUCCCCCCCUAAACCCAACUAUCUACCAACCUCACUUUCUACUUAAACUAAAUCAUUCUCUCAACCUAGUAUAGGCGAUAGAAAAGUCACUUGGCGCUAUAGAAGAUAGUACCGUAAGGGAAAGAUGAAAUAGCAAUGAAAACCUAAGCACUAAACAGCAAAGAUAAACCCUUGUACCUUUUGCAUCAUGAUUUAACAAGAAUAACCAAGCAAAGCGCACUUAAGCUUGCCAUCCCGAAACCCAAGCGAGCUACUUACAAGCAGUUACCUAUGAACGAACCCGUCUCUGUUGCAAAAGAGUGGGAUGACUUGUUAGUAGAGGUGAAAAGCCAACCGAGCUGGGUGAUAGCUGGUUGCCUGUGAAAUGAAUCUAAGUUCCUCCUUGACCUUCCUCUAUGGACAAAAGUCUAACCCUCAAUGUAGCAGGUCAAGAGUAAUUUAAAGGAGGUACAGCUCCUUUAAAAAAGAACACAAUCUCCUCUAGAGGAUAAUCACUUUCAAUCAAUCCAAAACUGUAGGCCUUUAAGCAGCCAUCAACAAAGAGUGCGUCAAAGCUCCUUAUACAAAGAUCCAUAGCACAACAUGACUCCCUUCUCACUAACAGGCUAACCUAUAUGACAUAGGAGAAUCAAUGUUAAAAUGAGUAACUAGGGAACUAUCCCCUCUUAAGCGCAAACUUACAUCCAUACAAUCAUUAACGGACACAAUCAAUACCUAAACUUUAACAAGACCAAGAUAUUUUUCCCAUCCGUUAUCCCAACCCAGGAGCGCACACUAGAAAGAUUUAAAUCUGUAAAAGGAACUAGGCAAACCCAGGGCCCGACUGUUUACCAAAAACAUAGCCUUCAGCCUAACCAAGUAUUGAAGGUGAUGCCUGCCCAGUGACAUAACGUUCAACGGCCGCGGUAUCCUAACCGUGCAAAGGUAGCGCAAUCAAUUGUCCCAUAAAUCGAGACUUGUAUGAACGGCUAAACGAGGUCCUAACUGUCUCUUACAGAUAAUCAGUGAAAUUGAUCUUCCCGUGCAAAAGCGGGAAUAAUUACAUAAGACGAGAAGACCCUGUGGAACUUAAAAAUCAACGGCCACUAUACAUAAACUAAACCCUAUCAGGCUUACUCCCACAAACAUUGGCCCGCAUUUUUCGGUUGGGGCGACCUUGGAGAAAAACAAAUCCUCCAAAAAUAAGGCCACACCCCUUAACUAAGAGCAACCCCUCAAUGUACUAAAAGUUACCAGACCCAAUACAUUUGAUCAAUGGACCAAGCUACCCCAGGGAUAACAGCGCAAUCUCCUCCAAGAGCCCACAUCGACGAGGAGGUUUACGACCUCGAUGUUGGAUCAGGACAUCCUAAUGGUGCAACCGCUAUUAAGGGUUCGUUUGUUCAACGAUUAACAGUCCUACGUGAUCUGAGUUCAGACCGGAGCAAUCCAGGUCGGUUUCUAUCUAUGAGAAACUUCCCCCAGUACGAAAGGACCGGGAAAGUGAGGCCAAUGCUACAAGUAUGCCCCCCUACAAGUAAUGAAUUUAACUUAAUUACUAAAAAGCCACCCCCCCCAUUCCUAGAAAAGGACC
rnacentral:rRNA from 1 species